rnacentral:rRNA from 2 species
GGGGAAUAUUGCACAAUGGGCGAAAGCCUGAUGCAGCAACGCCGCGUGAGCGAUGAAGGCCUUCGGGUCGUAAAGCUCUGUCCUUGGGGAAGAAGGAAGUGACGGUACCUAAUGAGGAAGCCCCGGCUAACUACGUGCCAGCAGCCGCGGUAAUACGUAGGGGGCGAGCGUUGUCCGGAAUUACUGGGCGUAAAGGGUGCGUAGGUGGCGAUUUAAGUUGGAUGUGAAAUACCCGGGCUUAACCUGGGGGGUGCAUUCAAAACUGGAUGGCUAGAGUGCAGGAGAGGGAAGCGGAAUUCCUAGUGUAGCGGUGAAAUGCGUAGAUAUUAGGAGGAACACCAGUGGCGAAGGCGGCUUUCUGGACUGUAACUGACACUGAGGCACGAAAGCGUGGGGAGCAAACA